rnacentral:rRNA from 1 species
CCCUUAGACGUUCUGGGCCGCACGCGCGCUACACUGACCAGUGCAACAAGCAUCCGUCCUUGGCCGACAGGCUCGGGCAAUCUUUGAACGCUGGUCGUGAUGGGGAUAGACUUUUGCAAUUUUUGGUCUUCAACGAGGAAUUCCUAGUAAACGCAAGUCAUCAACUUGCAUUGAUUACGUCCCUGCCCUUUGUACACACCGCCCGUCGCACCUACCGAUUGAAUGGUCCGGUGAAGCCUCCGGAUUGGCGCGCACCUCGGUGCCGCCGAGAAGUUGGCUAAACCUUACCAUUUAGAGGAAGGUAAAGUCGUAACA